AGAUGAAAUAUAGCAAAAGGAAAGAAAAGAAAAAAGAAAAAAACCACAAAGACGAUUUAAAAAAAAAAAAAAGGAAAAAAAAAGAUAAACUGUCACCAGUUAACUUUCUUGUACUUUUUUGCUGAAUUUAGCUUCAUGUAGUUUUAACUUAUUGCUGUGUUUAACUAUUUAUUCUCCUUGUUGGCCUGUAAGGACCUUUGUGUAUAUUUCUGUUCCUUCAUGAGUUUGCAGGUUGAAGGGAGCUGUUCCUUUUCUUUCAGUUUUGCUGAGAUGUGGUUAUGCCUAAUUUAUUUAUACAAAGGGGAAGUGGAGUCAUUAAAGUAAUAAUUAUUAAUAACAGUAAUGGUAGCAGCGUGCCCCCCGGGGGUGCCGUGGGCUCCGAGGGGUGGGGUGGGGUCCCCACAGCUGGCGGUGCCCGGGGCUCUCAACGGGAUUGUUUUGCUAUUGUCUUGAGAAGUUUUUCUGUCUAUUUAGCUGGUGAACUCUAGCUUGCUCACGAUACACCGAACCUAUUUAUUCUGGUGGUUUCUAAGUCUGCCCUUCCACUCCCCACUCCCUCCCAGCAGGACAGGGACUCCUCACCUCCAGGAGGGUCCAGCCCCUUCUUCCCCUGCUGUUUCUGGGGUCUCCCCUGCCCUCCGCACAUGCAGGAGGCAUCCGAGCAAUAAGGGCUGGGUUUGUCCCCCACCCUGGGGGGAGGAUGGGCUCUGAAGAGGGGGCACCUCCCCCCACCCCCUCCCACCAAGGCCUAGGUCCCUGCUGCCUCCAAGACUGGGAGGGGGGACUUUUUUUCUAGGACACAAAGCUUAGCCCAGCCAGGUCCCCUCCCUGGAGGCCAGUCCCCCAAGAGGGCCAGGCCAGGGGCUCCCAGGGAGAGGGGCCCUUGGGUCUUCCAAAGUCCCUGGGGGGUUGGGGCAGGGCCAGUGGGAAGAGGGCUCAGCCCUCUAACCCUUCCUUCAUCCUGUUGAUUGGGAAAGUUUCAAACAUGACAGUCUAUGUUGGAGGUGAUAUAAAAGAACUGUAGAAAAAAAAAAAAAAACCAUAAAACAAAAACCAAACCUCAACCCGAACCCAAGAACACUUCAAGUUGCGUUAGACAUUUCUUACCGAGCCCCAGGCCUGGCCGCGGUAACUGACUUUUACAUGGGAUUCUUUAACUAUUUGUACUUUUCAUGCCAGAAAAUAAAAAGUUCAGAAUCUU
rnacentral:lncRNA from 1 species